AAAUAAAUAAAUAUGAGUUUGGAAUGCUGGAUCUCAUCUAAUCUCAGAAGCUACGCAGAGUUUGGCUUGGUUAGUAUUUGGAUGGGAGACUGCCUGGGAAUACCAGGUGCUUUAUCCU
ensembl:rRNA 5S_rRNA 5S ribosomal RNA